rnacentral:tRNA from 1 species
GGUGGAUUCGUCUAGGGGUUAGGACAGAUGCCUCUCACGCAUCAAACAGGGGUUCGAUUCCCCUAUCCACUA